rnacentral:rRNA from 1 species
AUGUCGUCCCACGUCCAGGAAGAUGAGCUCGCCAUGAGCAGCGAUGAGUUGCUCCAAGCUCAGCUCGAGCUCUACCACCACUCCUUCGUCUAUGUCAAGUCCAUGGCGCUCGGUGCCGCCACCGAUCUGCGCAUCGCCGACGCCAUCCACCUUAGGGGAGGUGCUGCCACCUUGUCUGAUCUUGCCGCCCAUACAGGGAUCCACCCGACGAAGUUCUCCCACCUCCGGAGGCUCAUGCGCGUGCUCACCACCUCGGGCAUCUUCUCCGCCGACGUCAAGGCUAGAGGCGACACCGUGUACAAGCUCACCCGGGUCUCUCGCCUCCUUGUUGGUGCUGGUGGCGAGAGCUCGCGCCGCCGUGACCUGUCUCCAAUGGUUGGCGUGUUUGUCAACCCGGUCGCCAUCGCUGCUCUCUUUAGCAUACGCGAGUGGUUCACCGACGAAAACAGCGCCGCCUCAUCGUCUCUCUUCGAGAUGGCGCAUGGUUGUACACGGUGGGAGAUGAUAGCAAAGGACGCCGGCGAGGGUCGCGUGUUCAAUGCCGGCAUGGCCGCAGACAGCUGCCUCAGUAUGGAGAUCCUCCUAAAAGAGUGCAGCAGCGUCUUCGGAUCCCUAGGCAGCUCACUGGUCGAUGUCGGUGGCGCCCAUGGCACUGCUGCUGCGGUCGUUGCCAAGGCAUUCCCACACGUCAAGUGUACCGUGCUGGACCUCCCUCGCGUCGUCGCUGGGGCUCCUGCCCAUGCUAAUUUAACCUUCGUCCCCGGCGACAUGUUUGAGUACAUCCCGCCGGCGGACACCGUUCUACUCAAGUGGGUUUUGCAUGAUUGGCCAGACGAAGAUUGCAUCAAGAUACUGCGCCAGUGCAAGAAAGCAAUCCCGACAAGGGACGCUGGAGGGAAGGUGAUAAUCAUGGAUAUGGUGGUCGGAUCUCAAGGGCUGCAGCAGGAAACCGUGUCCAAUGAGGCGGAGGUUUUGUUCGAUGUCUUCAUAAUGCAUAUCGACGGGAUCCAGCGAGAGGAGCAUGAGUGGAGGAAGAUUUUCUUUGAAGCUGGGUUCAGCGACUACAAGAUUACACCCGUGACGGGAAUUCGCUCAAUUAUUGAAGUCUACCCUUAA